AGGAAGUGCGCUCGGGGCUGCUGCCCGGUUGUUGGGGGGGGCAGCACCGGGCUCGGGCCCGGGGACCCCCCCCCCGCCCCGCGGUGCGGCCGGUGCGGGUCCACCACGGAGCUCUGCCCUCCAUGGAGCCAAAGCGGGUGGAGGAAGGAGAUAAACCCCUUCAGCGGUGCGGGGGCUGCAAAGGGCAGGAACGGCAUUUACAACUGGAGAAGCGGGUUUACACCCACCAGGGACAACGUGCUCCAGGAGAGGGAAGAAGAGGGAGGACGGUCCCUGCUCUGCUCAUCAUCUCCUUUCGUGCUUCCCUUGGCUCAUGCCCUCCUCACACAGAGCCCUGGAGCUGCAGUGCCCCUCUCCAGCCCUGUUUGUGGUGUUACACAGCACCAAGCCAAGGAGUUCUGCUCAUCAAAGGCUUGGCUGGUUCCUGCACAUGGCCAGGUUCUCCUCCUACGUGGCUCCUUCAUUAAAGACUUCUCUCUGCUUUCCAGUA